AAGAAAAAUUUAGUUUAAAGUUAUUAAUAAACCAAACUAGAUUCAGUAACAACAGCAUCAACAUCUAUCAAAGAAAGGCAGAGUAACUGAUCCAUACAAAAUUCAAGACGACUUAUGAUGUAGCCAGGCUGAAUUCACAAUGACGACGACACCCAUAAUGAGGUUAGCUGUGAAUCAAAGGAGCGAAAGAAAGAGGGUAGGGGGAGGUGCAGUUGAAGCAAAAAUGCAAGGGGAAAAAAUGUUUUAGGAUUAAGUUAAGUUUCUAUUUGCAUUUUUUUUUGUCUUGUCAAAUGUUUCAAUUAGUUUCAGCUUCCUGAAAUCAAAAUCGAACUACAUCAAGUAAUUUUUCUGGUUUUUAAAUAGGUUUUUCCAGUUUUUUUUCUUUGUUGAUUGGUUUCUUGAAUACCCCUAUGAUUAGUUAAAAAUAUAUCAUGUUUUAUUAUCGCUAGAAAAGUAUUCUAAAAUUUUGGUGGUUGCAUUAUUUUGUAUCAUCGAAACUUGGGUUAACAUGGGCUAUUAUAUGUUCCUCUCUUUGGAUCAUACGACAUGUUAUAGUGUGAAGUUUGAUUGAUACUCUUAAGAAGAAGAAGUUUCACUUCAACCUGUAUCUGUGGAUUACUGCUGUGCUCUUUGUCCUGUCAUGUAUGGUAGUGCAGCUAGCUUUUCUCUUCUUGAUUAUACAUCAGAACUGAAGAUAAUUGUAUACCUAUUUCAGUCAGUAAACAUUCGCAGUAGAAUAUGGAUUUUUCGAGGUUCUUAACCUUUUGUGUAAUAGGCUCUUACUUAGCAUUUGCUCUUUCAGCUUUUCUGUAGGUUCUGUUAGUUUUCCCACAGGAGGAUGAAUAAAUGGCUUGUCCUUUCGAUUACGCACAGGACGGCCUCGUGGAGGGCAGAUGAUAACGGCAUCAACUUAAGAAAGGUACCUUUAGGCUUCCCAUGAAAAGCAAAAUCACCCCUACCCUUAUUAGUUUUUACCAGGAAAGAUAAAAAACAAAGGAAUCAUGGCAUAUCCGUCACUCCUAGCUGGGGCUUACGGUCUCGUUCUGACUUUUGAUACUCUCACUCAGCGAAACCGCAUUCAACAAAGUCUGAGCAGAAAAUUAAUUCAUAUAAUUUCAGGCUCUAUUUUUGCUGCUUGUUGGCCUAUUUUCAGGUAUAAAUAAAUCUUUGAUGGGAUUUCUUUGAUUUUGCUAUUUUUUGGCCCAUUUUCAGGCACCAGUCCUUAGUGGGAUUCUUUAAAAACCUCCAGAAAAUUUAAUCGUGGUAUUAACUUGUGAUUUGAGUUUUGAGUUUUUCAUGCUUUAACCUGUACCUCAGCUUUUCAUAAUGUUUGAUCCUAGAAUAGCACAACAACACAGGCUCGCUACUUUGCUCAUUAAGUACCUCUCGUGAAUUGCUUGAGGCUGGUUAUACAUGGCUUCUCUUUGGUUACUAAUGAAGGGCUCAUUAAAUCAUUCACUCGAGAAGGAGAUCCACAGGAGAUGCUAAGAGGACCUCUGUAUCAUGCUUUGACAUUGAUCUUAUGUGCCCUUGUUUUCUGGCGUGAGUCUCCAACUGGGGUGAUCUCAAUGGCUAUGGUGUGUGGUGGGGAUGACAACUAAGAUUAUUGUGGAGUCCCUGCCGGCAGUAGAUGACAACGUAGUUAUUUCCUUUGUUGGUCCGUUAUCAAGAAACACUUUAGGUACAUCAUGAAAUAAAACUCAAAAUAAGCUUAGCAAAACUCAGAUGCAUUAUAAAAGGUCCAAAAAAACCUAAUUAAAUAGACAUGUAUCUAACUGAUUUUUAAA